rnacentral:rRNA from 1 species
GGCGAACGGGUGAGUAAUAUAUCGGAACGUGUCCAAUAAUGGGGGAUAACGAGUCGAAAGAUUCGCUAAUACCGCAUACGCCCUACGGGGGAAAGCAGGGGAUCGUAAGACCUUGCGUUAAUGGAGCGGCCGAUAUCUGAUUAGCUAGUUGGUGAGGUAAAGGCUCACCAAGGCGACGAUCAGUAGCUGGUUUGAGAGAACGACCAGCCACACUGGAAUUGAGACACGGUUCAGACUCCUACGGGAGGCAGCAGUGGGGAAUUUUGGACAAUGGGGGCAACCCUGAUCCAGCCAUUCCGCGUGAGUGAAGAAGGCCUUCGGGUUGUAAAGCUCUUUCGCAAGGGAAGAAAACUUAUGAUCGAAUAAAUCAUGAGGUUGACGGUACCUUGAUAAGAAGCACCGGCUAACUACGUGCCAGCAGCCGCGGUAAUACGUAGGGUGCGAGCGUUAAUCGGAAUUACUGGGCGUAAAGCGUGCGCAGGCGGUUUUGUAAGUCGGAUGUGAAAUCCCCGGGCUCAACCUGGGAAUGGCGCUUGUGACUGCAUCGCUGGAGUGCGGCAGAGGGGGAUGGAAUUCCGCGUGUAGCAGUGAAAUGCGUAGAUAUGCGGAGGAACACCGAUGGCGAAGGCAAUCCCCUGGGCCUGCACUGACGCUCAUGCACGAAAGCGUGGGGAGCAAACAGGAUU